rfam:Erinaceus europaeus unplaced genomic scaffold scaffold00465, whole genome shotgun sequence
GGCUGGGCUGUUCGCAGUGCAGGAAGCCAGCUGUUCUGAGGGAAUCGAGGUGUCACCAGGAGCCUUGCUAUUGCAGUGGGUUGUGGUCACAGGCUGAGUCCCAGGGCAGCCUCCAUCCAGGCCUCUUGUGCUGAACUGGAGAGCAGCCUGAGGACUGACUGGGGCUCCCAAGG